rnacentral:rRNA from 1 species
CGCGUAGGCGGUCUGUACAGUCAGGCGUGAAAUUCCCGGGCUCAACCUGGGGGCUGCGUUUGAUACGUAUGGGCUGGAGUUCGGAAGAGGGUCGUGGAAUUCCCAGUGUAGAGGUGAAAUUCGUAGAUAUUGGGAAGAACACCGGUGGCGAAGGCGGCGACCUGGUCCGAUACUGACGCUGAGGCGCGAAAGCGUGGGGAGCAAACAGGAUUAGAUACCCUGGUAGUCCACGCCGUAAACGAUGUGCGCUGGAUGUUGGGCGGUCUGACCGCUCAGUGUCGUAGCCAACGCGAUAAGCGCACCGCCUGGGGAGUACGGCCGCAAGGUUGAA